GUGUCAUUUCGUGCUGGCAGAUGAAGUGAGUUAUGCGCUUGGAACUGGGAUAGAGGAUGGGGAGAGUGUGCAAUGAGGAAGCGUAAGGUCUCACGUGUCGGCACCUGGACGUCCCUCACCUACAGGAUCAACAUUGUUUUAAGGACUCACUUCUGUAAUAAGACCUUUCCCAGGAUCCAUGUCCCAGGCUGAGGGGCGACCAGGUGGUGAUAGAAACCACAGACACCUCAUUUAAGCAACAGAGAAGCAGGACUGGCGGAGCAUGUCCCUGGUGUCCAGCCCUGCAAUCACCAGAACCCAGUGCAAUGUGGUCUCAUGUUCCCAGAGCAGAUCUCCAGGGCCAGGUUGGAGAAGGACUUUCUAAUUAGAAAUGAAGUAACUCUUUGGUUUGACUACCAAAAAAAAAAAAAAAGACGACACCAG